UGGGGUGUAGCUCAGUGACAGAGCACAUGCUUAGUGCACAGGAGGUCCUGGGUUCAACCCCUAGUACCUUUA
rnacentral:tRNA from 1 species